CACGUAGGGGGCGAGCGUUGUCCGGAUUUAUUGGGCGUAAAGAGCUCGUAGGCGGCUUGGUAAGUCAGGUGUGAAACCUCCAGGCUCAACCUGGAGACGCCACUUGAUACUGCCAUAGCUAGAGUCCGGUAGGGGAGCGUGGAAUUUCUGGUGUAGCGGUGAAAUGCGUAGAUAUCAAGUGGAACACCAGUGGCGAAGGCGAGUCUCUGGACAUUUCCUGACGCUGAGGCACGAAAGCCAGGGGAGCAAACGGG
rnacentral:rRNA from 1 species